rnacentral:rRNA from 1 species
GAUGAACGCUAGCUGGAGGCCUAAUACAUGCAAGUCGAGCGGGAUUCAUGACUUCGGUUGUGAUGAGAGCGGCGCACGGGUGAGUAACGCGUACACGACCUACCUCUGACAGGGGGAUAG